CGUAGGGCGCAAGCGUUGUCCGGAUUUAUUGGGCGUAAAGAGCUCGUAGGCGGCUUGUUGCGUCGGCUGUGAAAACCCGCGGCUUAACCGCGGGCUUGCAGCCGAUACGGGCGGGCUGGAGUUCGGUAGGGGGAGACUGGAAUUCCUGGUGUAGCGGUGAAAUGCGCAGAUAUCAGGAGGAACACCGGUGGCGAAGGCGGGUCUCUGGGCCGAUACUGACGCUGAGGAGCGAAAGCGUGGGGAGCGAACAGGAUUAGAUACCCUGGUAGUCCACGCUGUAAACGUUGGGCGCUAGGUGUGGGGAGCCUCUCCGGUUCUCUGUGCCGCAGCUAACGCAUUAAGCGCCCCGCCUGGGGAGUACGGCCGCAAGGCUA
rnacentral:rRNA from 1 species